rnacentral:rRNA from 1 species
AGUGUGAUAGGGUAGAGUCAUGUCGGUCCUAAGUUCAAGGCGAAAGCCGAAAAAUAUUAAGUAAAUAUUAUUAUUUAUAAAAUAUUUAACUAAUUUAUUGAACGAAAGGGAAUACGGUUCCAAUUCCGUAACCUGUUGAGUAUACGUUUGUUAUUAAAAAUGGGCUUUAACGCUCAUCCUGGUAACAGAAACAACCAUAAAGAAACCGUCGAGAGAUAUCGAAAGAGUUUUCUUUUCUGUUUUAUAGUCGUACCACCAUGGAAGUCUUUCGAAGAGAGAUAUGGUGGAUGGACUAGAAGAGCAUGGCAUUUACUGUUGUGUCGAUAUUUUCUCCUCGGGCCUUGAAAAUUUAUGGUGGGGUCACGCAAACUUCUUAACAGGCCGUACCGAUAUCCGCAGCUGGUCUCCAAGGUGAAGAGUCUCUAGUCGAUAGAAUAAUGUAGGAAGGGGAAGUCAACUCUUUCUCUAUCUUGAGGGAGGGAAGGAAGUCAAACACCCCCCCCCCCUUUUUUUGGGUGGGGGGGGGGGGGGGGAAUACCCA